rnacentral:rRNA from 1 species
CCCUUAGAUGUUCUGGGCCGCACGCGCGCUACACUGAUGCAUUCAACGAGUUCUUCCUGGUCCGAGAGGAAUGGGUAACCUUUUGAAAGUGCAUCGUGCUAGGGAUAGACUAUUGCAAUUAUUGGUCUUCAACGAGGAAUUCCUAGUAGACGUAGUUCAUCAGACUGCAUCGAUUACGUCCCUGCCCUUUGUACACACCGCCCGUCGCUCCUACCGAUUGGAUGAUCCGGUGAGCUAUUCGGACCUGUGCAUUUUCCAUUGGAACUUGCGUGGGAAAGUCUCGAACCUUAUCAUCUAGAGGAAGGAGAAGUCGUAACA